rnacentral:lncRNA from 1 species
AAAUACACAUUUUAUGCCUUGGGGAAGGGCUGGAACCUUUUCAGCCCCAAAAUCCAAGAACAAAAAUCAUAUUUUCCUUGUAUUUUCAAUUUUAGUUAGGUUCUCAAUUUUAGCUCAAAAAAUUCCACAAAAAUUUGCUUGUCCUUUCAUUUUUAGCUUUCAAAAUUAGAUCCAACAUUCAAAUACACCAAAAAAUACAAAAAAAAAUGCAUACAGAAAUAGAAAACAACAAAAAAAUGUUCACUGCUCAUUGGUUGUAAGUAGCUUCUGGUUUUUUUUUUCCUUGGGUGUUCUUUCUUAUAGCUUGAUUUGAAAUUUUGGUUGAGUUGGUUUGGGGUUUAUUCCUGCUGGAUUGUGGUCUUUUCUGUUGGAUUUUUAAGUUUUCCGGGUUCAUAGAUUGCAUUCAUGGGUUUCUUGUUGCUGCUUGGUUCACUGAGCAUUUUGCUGCAUUAAGCUGCUGCUGACUACUUUCCAUCUUCUCAAUUGAAUCAUACUUCAGGUACACGCCUUGAGAUCAGUCUGAUGUAAAUUUUUAAAUGGAAAUGCAGUGGCAGCUUGAUACUUGUUUGGGCCUUCACUGCUCUAUGUUGUUCAAUUAAAUUGUAGUUAGUUUUAGGAUGCAUUUUCUGAUGAAAUCGCUGCUUUAGUUCUGAUGGUAAUGAAUUGGUCGAACUGUUAAUAUGUCAGGGACUACCUAAAUCUUUAAUUCGUAUAAGACUGAACAUUGAUUUUGAGCUAGCAGAACUGUAAUAAUUUGAACUAUGUCAUUAGGACUACUUUAAUGACUUUGGAUUGUUUUAACUGUCAUUUGUAUUUGCUUAAACUUUGUUAGCUGGAAAUUGCUUAGAGGUUUGGUAAGUAGGAGUGAUUUGGGACUUAAGUAGAAUUUUAAUUGCUUUUCUUUCAGAAAAAAAUAAGAAGAAGAGAAAACUAGCAAUAGUAAAAUCGUAGCCUUCUUAGAAUUAUCUUUAAAAUUAAUAAAGAGAUGAGCCUCGCCCAAGCAAAAACAAAUGCGGGGCCCUUGAUAAGAAUUAUAGAAUUAAUUUAGAAUAUGGGAGGGCCAUUUAGCGAAUUUCAUGGCCUUACCCAAAUUAAUAAUACGCUAGAAUCUUUAGACGCGUUUGAUUAAAAUACCUUCCAAAAUUCGGGUAUGCAUUGAUGCAACCCAAAUCCAAAUCUCGACGAAGUCGAAAUGUGUUGAUAACCACGAGUGCCUUGAUGGCAACGCGGUUAGAGACGCGUCUUCAUGACGUCGUAUUUCUUAUAAAAUGAAUAAUGAUUAAAAAAGGUUCAAAACUAGAGACAAGCCUCACUGAAUAAGAAUAAAUGUGGGGCCCUCAAUAAUUAGUUAUUAAAAAUGAUUAGAAUUUGGAAGGCCAUUUAGCAAAUUUCAACGGCCUUUCCCAAAUAUUAUUGCGUUAGAACCUUUAAGCGCUAUUUAAUUAAAUUACUUUCUUAAACUUGUGUGUGCAUUGAUUGUGACACAAAUUCAAAUCUCGAUGAAGUCGAAAUGUGUCAAUGACUACGUGUGUCUUGAUGGCGACGCGGUCAGAGACGUGUUUUCACGACGUCGCAAGUCUUUUAAAAAUAAAUAAAGAUAAAAGUGGUUUAUAAAUAAAAGGCGUAUAAGUUAGCAUGCUUUAAAAUAAGAUUUUAAUCAAAUACAAUAAUUUAAGCGACCUUGCUAGAACUACAGGAUCCGAGGGUGCCUAACAGCUUCCCUCAGGUCAACAGAAUUCCUUAUUCAGAAUUUCUGGUUCGCAGACUCCAAUCGGAAGUCGAAAUUUUCCUCGGUUCGGGAUUAAAGAAAAAAUCGGUGACUUGGGACACCAAAAGCGAAACCUUUCCCAAGUGAUGAUUCUGAACAAAUAAAUAAUCCCGAUUCGAAUAAUGUCACUUUAAAUGGAAAAACUCCCUUAUACAUUUAUCCUUCGGGGUAAGGUGUGUAAAAAAGGAGGUGUGACAAUUAAUUGUGUACAUGAACGUGUGACAUGAUUCUUAAUGCACCAAACAAAAAAGUAUACUUGUGGGAGACUUAUUUCAAGAUAAAUUCCAUAAAUCCUUAAAUAAGAAAAUAAAAACAGUUUAAAAACAAAAAUACAUAAAAUACCUAAAACAUAGAAUAUUCGGGUUAAUUAAGCCAAUAGUUAAGUGAUCAUGCUAAAAUUACGAAACUUGGGAGUAACUUACAUCUUCUUCCUGAUUAAUAAAAAUUGUUUAAAAUAAUAAAUCAACCCCUUUUCAAACAAUAUCAAUUUAAUUGGAAAAAAUCAUCCUUUCACAAUCCCAGAGAAGGAGGUGUGACAAUUACCAAUACACUCUUUUCUACCCUAUUUCUAGAUUUGUGUUUGUUGUUCAAUUUUCAUUUCCCUGCUCAUAUCAUAUCAAGAGACAUAUGUAACAAUAACGUAAAAGAUAAAAUAAAAAUCCUUUCAUACAAAAUUGACUAAUCAAAGUAAAAUUAUCAUAAUUGCCAAUUUAUGAUUAACACAUUAAAAAAGGAUCAAUAUACAUUCAUUAUUUUAAUAUUUUAAUUUCAAUCAAAAUCAUAGGGAAAAUACGAAAAUAUGUAAUAAUUGAUAAUUAUUGGAAAUUAAUUUGAAAUUUAAAAUUUUCAACAAGAGUUAUAUUAUUUUGGCCGUCAAAUUUAAGUUAACUUAAGUUAUUCGUUCGGUUCAAAAGGUGAAAAGAAUAUUAUUUGUACAGUCAAAAAGUUAAGGCAUUUAUAUGAAUUUUACUCGAAGCUUACACAUCAACAGUAGAAGUAGAGUCAAAAUUACUAUAAAUUACACUAAGAUUAAUUAUUUGAUAAAUAGAUAGAGUAAUAAUAUGUUGUAAUUUGGCCGUCAAAUUUAUGGUUAACUUAAGUUAUUCGUUCGGUUCAAAAGGUAAAAAGAAUAUUAUUUGUCAGAGUCAAAAAGUUAAGGCAUUUAUAUGAAUUUGACUCUAAAAUUUACACAUCAAGAGUUAAAGUAGAUUUAGAAUACUAUAAAUUACGCUAAGAUUCAUUAUUUGAGAAAUAGAGUAAUAAUAUGUUGUAACUUGCACAAAUGACGUUGAUAAUUUGAAAGUACAAAGAUUAUAUUUCGAAGCUUAAUUUUUGUAUAUUAAUGGUGUUGAACGUGGCAAUAUGGAUUAAAAAGACAGUUAUUCAUCCAUAUUAUCCAUUAAAAAAUGAGCUGGAUAAUAGAUUUUUUAAAACAAAUCAAAUAUGGAUAAGAACCGUAUUAUCCAUUUAGAAAAUAGAUAACAAACGAAUAAUCAUUGAAUAACUAAUGAGUUCAACUUUUACAAGACUCAAAUUGGGGGUUCUCAAGUUUGGGAGAUUACCAAGCCUCCCAAAAAUGAUAAUAUUCAAAAAAUCAUGAAUAAUAUGAAUGUCCAUAUUAUCUACCAGUUAACCCAUUUUCUAUCUAUAUUAAAAAAAGAUUUAGUCGAUCCGUUUCUAUCUUUAGUCGAUUCAUUUUUACAUUAUCUGUUUUUGACCUGUCUAAAUCCGUCCCGACCCUUCCUUUUGCCACCCUACUGGUGUAUAAAUUUUUGUAUACAAUAAUAUUAAGUUGGCCAACAAGUAACCAGAAUAGAUAACAUUUAUUAUCAAGAGCUUGUUUGGCCAAACUACCAAAAUUUAAAGUGUUCAAAAGUGUUUUUCCUCUAAAAAAUGCUUUUAACAUAAAAGCCUUUUUAAAUGUCAAAUUAUGAAAAAGUAAGUAUAUAUUUUCUUUAAAAUCAAUAUUAUUCAAAUGAAAAAUGUUAAAUUAUUUAUUAUUAAAGACCUUACUUACUUUUAAUUUUAUUUAAUUAAAAUAUCUCCCCAUCUGUUUGAAAUUUAGUGAGAUUUGUGAAAAAGGAGAAAACCACUGUAAUUAAUGAGAAAGGGGAUAAUCUCCUAUAUAUAUAUCAACUACUACAUACAGAGAGACCCAUUACAAAACUUAGUUAAACUACUACUAGGCAAACCUACGUUAGUACUACUACUGCCUUGAGCAUGCAACAUAGUAUUUACAUAGGUAUUACUACUAAAGUCAUCCACUGUUUGGUUUAUAGUUACAUGCAAAAUGUGACUCUUGUCAUUUUCCAGAGCUGGAGUUACAAAAGGAGAGGCCACAUGAUAAACAUAAGGAUCAAUCAUAGGAACAAAAAGUUUGGCUGCCUUUGCUAGUUGAUCCGCUACCAUAUUCUGUUCUCUGUAUGCAUAUCGUACUUGCGGAUUAUUAAAUCGGUGGAGAAGGUACCUGCAAUUGGUUAUCAUAUUAGAAUAAGGAUGAUUUUCAGUUUGUAACAUAGUAGUAAUUUGUUUAGCAUCCAGCUCUACUUCUAUAGGCAUCAAUUAUAUUGCAAGGCUAAAUUAAGGCCUGUGAUCAAAGCAUAUAAUUCAGUUGAUAUUGCAGAUCCCUUAUGUAUGCCUU